UGAAGAUAAAAUCUCUUGGCUCCUGCCUGUAUAUCCAGUCUCUGUUACAGAGACUACAUAAAACUGCUAUAUUAAGCAGGAAUCAUAUGCAGUGUUGUUGUAGCUGUGUUGGACCCAGGAUACUAGAGAGGCAAGGGAUUGUACACAUUCUAGCGAUGGGUUUGAACCACAACAUUUGGAUCCUGUUUGUUACCAAAUUUUGGAACCUACAAGGCUGUGUCCAGAUCCUGCUACCCUCAAUCCUGUUUUCCUCUUCUGAUCGUCCCCGACCGCUCUGGCAAGAAUGGGCUGAAUGGGUCCCAAAGCGUAUCUCGCACACAUGCUUGAAUCUACUUGGACUGAGGAAACAACCAUUGUUAUUAAAUGCUCAGCAAAUAUUAUGUGACUUGUGCUCCUCCUGAGUUUGCAGUGGAAGGAACAGGCCAUCGUUCAUGUGAACUCCUGGACCCUGCGGAGUCAUCCACUCUAACCACAGCAUGUGAAGUGGUAUGUCCCACCGGAUCCCAGUUUGU